UGUACCUCCUCUGGUUCUGUAUCUGGGGUUCUGUCGGUGUGAAACGAUAAAGAUGAUCCAUCAGAGUCCACAGACGCCUCUUCAUCAUAACCAUAGAACGUCUCAAUCACCUGCGCAGGUGGAGGACACAGGUAGAGGACACAGGUAGAUGACACAGGUGGAGGACACAGGUAGAGGACACAGGUAGAUGACACAGGUGGAGGACACAGGUGGAAGACACAGGUGGAGGACACAGGUAGAGGACACAGGUGGAAGACACAGGUGGAGGACACAGGUAGAGGACACAGGUGGAGGACACAGGUAGAUGACACAGGUGGAGGACACAGGUGGAAGACACAGGUGGAGGACACAGGUAGAGGACACAGGUGGAGGACACAGGUGGAGGACACAGGUGGAGGACACAGGUAGAGGACACAGGUGGAAGACACAGGUAGAGGACACAGGUGGAGGACACAGGUUGAGGACACAGGUGGAGGACACAGGUAGAGGACACAGGUGGAGGACACAGGUGGAGGACACAGGUAGAGGACACAGGUAGAGGACACAGGUAGAGGACACAGGUAGAGGACACAGGUGGAAGACACAGGUGGAGGACACAGGUAGAGGACACAGGUAGAGGACACAGGUGGAGGACACAGGUGGAGGACACAGGUAGAGGACACAGGUGGAAGACACAGGUAGAGGACACAGGUGGAGGACACAGGUUGAGGACACAGGUGGAGGACACAGGUAGAGGACACAGGUGGAGGACACAGGUGGAGGACACAGGUAGAGGACACAGGUAGAGGACACAGGUAGAGGACACAGGUAGAGGACACAGGUGGAAGACACAGGUGGAGGACACAGGUAGAGGACACAGGUGGAGGACACAGGUGGAGGACACAGGUGGAGGACACAGGUGGAGGACACAGGUGGAGGACACAGGUAGAGGACACAGGUAGAGGACACAGGUGGAGGACACAGGUGGAGGACACAGGUAGAGGACACAGGUGGAGGACACAGGUGGAAGACACAGGUGGAGGACACAGGUAGAGGACACAGGUAGAGGACACAGGUGGAGGACACAGGUGGAGGACACAGGUGGAGGACACAGGUAGAGGACACAGGUGGAGGACACAGGUGGAGGACACAGGUAGAGGACACAGGUGGAGGACACAGGUGGAGGACACAGGUAGAGGACACAGGUAGAGGACACAGGUAGAGGACACAGGUGGAAGACACAGGUAGAGGACACAGGUGGAGGACACAGGUGGAGGACACAGGUGGAGGACACAGGUAGAGGACACAGGUGGAGGACACAGGUGGAGGACACAGGUGGAGGACACAGGUGGAGGACACAGGUGGAGGAUACAGGUGGAGGACACAGGUAGAGGACACAGGUAGAGGACACAGGUGGAGGACACAGGUAGAUGACACAGGUGGAGGACACAGGUAGAGGACACAGGUGGAGGACACAGGUAGAGGACACAGGUGGAGGACACAGGUAGAGGACACAGGUGGAGGACACAGGUAGAGGACACAGGUGGAGGACACAGGUGGAGGACACAGGUAGAGGACACAGGUGGAGGAUACAGGUGGAGGACACAGGUAGAGGACACAGGUGGAGGACACAGGUAGAGGACACAGGUGGAGGACACAGGUGGAGGACACAGGUAGAGGACACAGGUGGAAGACACAGGUAGAGGACACAAGUGGAGGACACAGGUGGAGGACACAGGUGGAGGACACAGGUAGAGGACACAGGUGGAAGACACAGGUAGAGGACACAGGUAGAGGACACAGGUGGAGGACACAGGUAGAGGACACAGGUAGAGGACACAGGUAGAGGACACAGGUGGAGGACACAGGUGGAGGACACAGGUAGAGGACACAGGUGGAGGACACAGGUGGAGGACACAGGUAGAGGACACAGGUGGAGGACACAGGUGGAGGACACAGGUAGAGGACACAGGUAACUGUAGCAGAGCAGCAGUAACUGAGGUAGUAGGAGCUGAAUAGUAUUUCUAGCAGUAAUAGUAUUAGUAGUGACAGCAGUACAGGUUGUAAUGAUGUGUUGUAUCAUGUUGUAGUACUAUUAGUAUCCAUAGUAUUUAUAGGAGCAGUACAGUGAGUACUUCACUGGGUACUACAGUACUGAAGUAGCUGUCUAG